GAUGAACGCUGGCGGCGUGCUUAACACAUGCAAGUCGAACGAGAACCAAUGGAACAAGGAUUCGUCUGAGGGAAGUUGGGGAAAGUGGCGGACGGGUGAGUAACGCGUGAGCAAUCUGCCUUGGAGUGGGGAAUAACGGCUGGAAACAGCCGCUAAUACCGCAUGAUGCAUUUGGACCGCAUGGUCUGGGUGCCAAAGAUUUAUCGCUCUGAGAUGAGCUCGCGUCUGAUUAGCUGGUUGGCGGGGUAACGGCCCACCAAGGCGACGAUCAGUAGCCGGACUGAGAGGUUGGCCGGCCACAUUGGGACUGAGACACGGCCCAG
rnacentral:rRNA from 1 species